AUCAAGACUUCAACACAACCAACAAAACAUCAUAGAGCUGAGACUCUGAACCAGUUGGUUCUGUAUAGCACACCUGCUAACAGAGAGUCACUCAUUUAUUGAUCACAAUGGCAAACACUGAUUAUAGAUGUUCUUCUGCUGGCAUCAAUGAGAAGAACCAAUUAUGCUUCUUUAUUUUUCAGAUCACCAGAGACAUGACAUUUUCAGAGGACUGAAUCUUCCUCAGCCAUGACCCAGAGACAUCUGUGGCUAGAAAACAGAAACUUACUAGGGAGUUAAAGGUUACCCUUUCUCACUGGAUGAAGGCAGAUAUCUGUUCAAGAAGUGAAUAUUUUUAAAAAAUUGCCUGAAUGAAGUUUAAAUUAUCUUCCUGGUUGCUGCCGCCACAGAGAGCCCGAGGGCAGCACCCCGAGAGUGAACUUGAGCCUCGGGACCACAGGAAAUGUGAUGGGAAAGAUCAUCUAUUCGGGACAGCAGGACCACCAUUUGUAGACGCUUGGGUGUGGACAUCACUAGUGUUGCAGUAGAAGAUUCACUAGAUCUACCUCAAAAAACAGCUAUACCACUCCUGAGCAUAUACCCAAAAGAAGCUUGUCUAUGCUCAUCUAUGAUCAUAUCAGCUUUAUUUAUAAUAGUCAGAAACUGGAAACAACCUAGAUGUCCCUCAGCCAAAGGAUUGAUAAAGACAAUAUGGCACAUUUACACAUGGAGUACUACUCAGCUACAAAAACCAAUGACAUCAUGAAAUUUAGAAGCAAAUGAUGAACUAGAAAAGAUUGUCCUGAGUGAGGUAACCUAAGCCCAGAGAGAAAACAUGAGGAUUCAAGAUCAGUUCCUGGUACCCACAUCUUGGCUCGCAGCUGUCUAUAAGUCCAGUUUAAAAAAGUCUGAUGCCCUCCUCUGACUUCCGUUGUCACCAAUCAUGGAUGUAAUAGAUGCACAUACCUUCAGAUAAAAUAUUAUACCUAUAAAAUUGAAUGAAUAAAUCUUUAAAAUGGGGAAUAAUAUAACAUAAUACAAUUAA